GAGACCCGGCCAAGGGCUUCCGCUGUCCUGCUCGGCCGCCGCAGUAGCUGAGUUCAGCGACAAGCUAGCGCCCGGGGACCUGCGGCAUCGCACCGUAGACGGGAAGGGCUCCUCUACAGAGAGGGCUACCUGUCUUUAAGCAGGGGAGUAAUGUAAUCCUACUAGGCUUCUAGAAAUAUUCUAGGAGAAAUGGUAAAUGAAUUGGAAGGGGGCAAGACUGGAAGCAAGAGAGAAGAGACGUGCGGUUGUCCUAGAAAGAACCAAUACUAGCAUCUUUACCUUCAAAUCAUUGGCCAGAUGACAGCAAUUCACUCUGACUAAAUAUGUUCCUAGUUUGGAGUUGAUAGCUCUGUUAACAGUGAUGUGUUAUGUGUUAUCAUGAGCCUUAAGCUCCCCCUACUGUUGUAGUGAGCCAGUCUUCUGAGCUGUUUUGCCCAGGAAUGGAUUCAGUCCAGCCCUUUCGGGCUGCAGAACAGAAGGAAUGUCAACUAGUUACAGAAUCUAGCCUGCACAGAAAUGGUGCUUCUGACAGGAGUCCUUCAGACAAAACUUAAGGCAGUUCUGCUGGGAGGAUUCCCUUGGGCCUCAGAAGUCCAGCUCUGGGAGCUCCGCCGUCAGUGGCUGCGGCCCGAGACGCACAGCAAGGAGCAGAUCGUGGAGCUGCUGGUGCCGGAGCAGUUCCUGACCAUCCUGCCCGAGGAGCUGCAGGCCCGGGUGCGGGAGCAGCCCAGAGUAUAGGGAGGACAUGGUUCCUGGACUGGGAGGGCUUGUCGAGGAAGCUGGAUAAUCCCCAAGGACAGGUGAGAUAAAGAAGAAAUGAUCUGUCAUCAGAAGGCAGGUGUUGUCUCCAGAGAGCGAUAAGAGAGGUGAGAUCUCCUCCCACAUGUAGUGAGGGAAGUGGCCAAGAUGCACUGGCAGAGUGCGUCCCCUCCCGAUAUUCUAUGUGCUUUAAUUCCCCGUCCUUGCAGGUCAAGGGAAACUGCUUUCUGUCCAGCUUUUCUAUGUUCCCCAUUAAUAUUGGGAUCGAAGCUCUAGAACUCUCCGCAUAUAUCACCCUGGUCAAAUUGAUCCCAUUGUCCCUGGAUCCUAGUUCUACAGGGACAGGAAGGGCCCCAGGGGCAGAAGCUUUAUAUGGCAGCAGCAGAGGACUCAUGGGGUCCAGCUCCGGCCAGAACGGGUUAGCUCAAUGCUGAACCUUGGGAGCUGCCUCCAUUCAGGAGAAAGAUGAUUUGGUUGAAAUGGAGAAUGAGAAGAUGCUUCCAAAGUAGAAGACGUCUGAAGAAAUAACAUGCCAACAGGGACACAUUGUCAGAUUAGAUGGAGGUGUUGCUCAGUGCUUUCGUUACAUAAAAGUCCAGAAAUACCAGGGAAGACUAGAAGGAUAUCCAUGAUGGCGUAAGUGUGAUGAAUGUGGAAUGAGUUUCACUCAGAGCUCCAUCCGAGCUACACACUGAGGAGAAACUCUAUGAAUGUGAUGAGCGUGGAAGAGCUUUUAGUCAAGAGUGCAGGCUUCACUGAAGAUAAGAGAGUUCACACUGAAUUUGACUCACAGAUGUGGAGGAUAUGGGACAAUAUGCAAACUGGACUAGUUCAUCACAGAGAAGCCAUCUUGGAGAGAGACCCUGUAAUAGAAGUGACAGGUAAAGCCUUGGAGAGUGGUCAGCUCUUAACCAGCACCAGAGACUUCACACCAGCGAGAAGUGUUACCAUCCGAACAAGUGUGGAAGAGCUAAUAGUCAGAACACAGAGCUUUUCCACUGUGUCAGAAUCUGUGUUGGAGAAAAACUCUUAGUGUAAUUGUAGUAAAAAUUUUCCUGGACAUUUUAUUCCUUAUUCAGUAUCAGAAAAGUCACUCAAGAGAGAAUGUGGGAAGUUGAUAAAUAUGGAUGAAAAGGCUGUGAACGGUAGCAUCUAACACUAAAAACUUUUAAGUGUCCAGCAUCUGAGACUGGCAAGGCAGAAUCUCUCUUCAUUCCAGACCUGUAGGUGGUCUUUGAUGGGAACUGGCCCUUCAGAAUGUCCCUCAAAACCUGGUCAGAUUCAAUAGAGCAAGCCAGUUACUUUUUCCUUAACAGCUUCAUCAAACAAGCUACAUUAUUUUAGUGAUUCAAAGGGCUGCCUAUGGUCCACCACUUCAGAUUUCCAGAUGUUUUAUUAGUUGUUCCUAAAUACAGUUCUUAAAAAAGCUUGGACUAAUUUUUUUUUUAGUGAAAACUUAAGUUGUGUAUAAAAUACAAAUAGCAAUAUUACUAGAUGGUUAAUGUAUUUUAAAAUGUUGCUGCAGUGGUUUGUCAAGUCAAAAAAAACUUGUUCAGCAUCUUUUUAGUGACAACAUGGUGGAUCCUUGGGCCUUCCGUUCCUAUCUAAGUUGUGAUGUGUGACACAUAGCCCCCAGCCAAGACCCCAAAGAAGAAAGAUGCAUCUUUUUUUUUUUU